GAUGAACGCUGGCGGCGUGCCUAAUACAUGCAAGUCGAGCGAACAGACGAGGAGCUUGCUCCUCUGACGUUAGCGGCGGACGGGUGAGUAACACGUGGAUAACCUACCUAUAAGACUGGGAUAACUUCGGGAAACCGGAGCUAAUACCGGAUAAUAUAUUGAACCGCAUGGUUCAAUAGUGAAAGACGGUUUUGCUGUCACUUAUAGAUGGAUCCGCGCCGCAUUAGCUAGUUGGUAAGGUAACGGCUUACCAAGGCGACGAUGCGUAGCCGACCUGAGAGGGUGAUCGGCCACACUGGAACUGAGACACGGUCCAGACUCCUACGGGAGGCAGCAGUAGGGAAUCUUCCGCAAAGGGCGAAAGCCUGACGGAGCAACGCCGCGUGAGUGAUGAAGGUCUUCGGAUCGUAAAACUCUGUUAUUAGGGAAGAACAAAUGUGUAAGUAACUAUGCACGUCUUGACGGUACCUAAUCAGAAAGACACGGCUAACUACGUG
rnacentral:rRNA from 1 species